GCCCGAUCUCUGCUCACUGCAACCUCCACCUCCCGGGUUCAAGCGAUUCUCCUGCCUCAGCCUACCGAGUAGCUGGGGUUACAGGCGCCCACCACUAUACCGGCUAAUUUUUUGUAUUUUUAGUAGAGACGGGUUUCACCACAUUGCCCAAGUUGGUCUCGAACUCCUGACUUUGGGUGAUGCGCUCCCCUCAGCCUCCCAAAGUGUUGGGAUUACAGGCGUGAGCCACUGAGCCCGGCCUAAUUAUUAAAAUUAUUUGUGGACAUGGGAUCUCCCUGUGUUGCCCAUGCUGUUCUUUUUUAAUUUAAACACAGCACUUAAUACCUGGUUCUUUGACCUGCUCCAUAGGCCUGGAAUAUUCUGACACAGGAUGCUACAUUUCAAAUCCCGGCACUGUUCCAGAACACCUUGGACAAGCUACAUCAUCGAGGUAGGCCUGGAUUCCUCCUCCCACAAAUAUAUCAGAACGCCUGCCUCACUCGAAGUUGCAGUGAGCCGAGGUCGCUCCAUUGCGCUCCAGCCUGGGCAACAAGAGUGAAACUCUGUCUCAAAAAAAAAAGAACACCUUCCUCACAGGGUUGGUCAGGGUCAUAUGCUUGAACAUGUACAAAGUACUGCAGGAUCGCUCCCCCUGGGAUCCAGUGCUCCCUACUCACUGGCCUUCCUCUGUCCCUUAAGCAUCCAAGUUCAUUUCCAUCUUCAGGCUCUGCCCCAGACCGGUUUUUCAGCCUGACAUCCUCUUCCCAGAUCUUUGCAAUGGAGUCUUUAAUGGCAUUCAGGCUUCAGCUCCAUAUCCCUGCCUUCCAAGGCUUUCUGAGGAAAGUGUCCAUGGUGACCAGGCACUUCCUAGCUGUGGCUCUAUUAUUAUUAUUAUUAGUAUCUUCAUCAUUAGUUUUAGAGAGGGAUGGGGUCUUGCUAUGUUGCCCAGGCUGGCGUGCAGUGGCUAUUCACAGACGCAAUCCCACUACUGCUCAGCAUGGGAGUUUUGACCUGCUCCAUUUCCGACCUGGGCCAGUUCACCCCUCCUUAGGCAACCUGGUGGUCCCCCGCUCCCGGGAGGUGGAGGUUGCAGUGAGCUGAGAUUGCGCCAUUGCACUCCAGCCUGGUGACAGAGUGAGAUUCCAUCUCAAAAAAACAAAACAAAAAAUAUUGUCCUAGCCACUUUUUAUAUAUUUCCAAGAUCCAUUGAGAUGAUAAUAAUUUUUUCCUCUGAGCACUUUCAAACUAAAAUUAUACAGGAAAAUGAUUAAGUAAUAUAAUACCUAGAAUACCUUCUAUAAAAAUUAGUUGGGCGUGGUGGUGGUUGCCUGUAGUCCCAGCUACUUGGGAGGCUGAGGCAGGAGAAUGGCUUGAACCCGGGAGAGGGAGGUUACAUUGAGCUGAGAUCCUGCCACUGCACUCCAGCCUGGGCAACAGAGCAAGACCCCGCCUCCAAAAGUAAAAUAACAUUUAAAAUGGCUACAAAAAUGUUUGACAUGAAGUAUUUACUAAUUCUUUCCCUUGCAUAUAUUUUCAAAGAAUAGGGAAAGCUGUAACUCUGAAGCUGGGUAGAAAAUAUAAAAUCAAUUUAAUAGAGGGCAAAUGGCAAAAAGAAAGGUUGGUAUUCUCUUUUGAGCCAGCAAAUAGGUUUAACUAUCUCAUCAAAAUGUUAAAAUAUUACUGUCCCCUUCUUACUUUUCCUGGCAUCAUAGUGAAAUGCGUCUCAAUUAAGGCAGCCAGAUAAAAUAGACAACAUCUACUUAGAUUUGAAUUUCCAACAAACAAUGAAUUUUUUUAUUAUAAGUAUGCCCCCAUGUAGUAUUUCAGACAUGCAAGAUUUGGGACAUAAUUAUACUAACAAUUUAUUCACUGUUUAUUGGAAAUUCAAAUUUAACUGACUAUCC
ensembl:lncRNA